GGGCGGAUACCCAAGCGGUCAACGGGGCCAGACUGUAAAUCUGGUGGCAUUGCCUUCGAAGGUUCGAAUCCUUCUCCGCCCACCA
rnacentral:tRNA from 1 species